UACAGAGGGGGCAAGCGUUGUUCGGAAUUACUGGGCGUAAAGGGCGCGUAGGCGGCCUUCUAAGUCGAACGUGAAAUCCCCGGGCUCAACCCGGGAACUGCGUCCGAGACUGGAAGGCUUGAAUCCGGGAGAGGGAUGUGGAAUUCCAGGUGUAGCGGUGAAAUGCGUAGAUAUCUGGAGGAACAUCGGUGGCGAAGGCGGCAUCCUGAACCGGUAUUGACGCUGAGGCGCGAAAGCCAGGGGAGCAAACGGG
rnacentral:rRNA from 1 species